ensembl:lncRNA
AGAGACGCCCCGCUAAUGGUGCUGAGAGGAUGAAGGAGGGCACAGGGUGAUGUUUUGUGGCACAAAAAGCUCAAGCUGCCAUGUAAAUGCAUCACUUGGCCUACUUCUUCAAAUCUUUUCAUUCUGAUUGUUCACCGCGUGUCGUUUCCUGAGCAUCUUUUCAGGAUCUUCUUGGGUUUCCUUUUUAAAAGCCAGAAUCAAAUUAGGUUUUGAAAGUGGGACAAAAAAAAUUACAUAAUGCUGUUGACAAUUUCCACUUUUCCUUAAGUACAGAUCUCUAAAUCUCUAAGAUGUCAAAUGAGCUUUUACAACCAAAUCAAAUGCUUCGAAAUGACUAUUAAACAUGUUGACAGUGAAUACUUCUGUUAUUUGUGUGUUACUACGAAUGUAGUAAAGGCACGUGUACAUUAUGGAUGUCAGACAGGGCUGAUGGGAGCCACUGCCAUCAGGGUAUGAAUGGGUGAUUAGUGUGAAAGCGCUACGCAAGUAGAAUUCCAUUUACCGUUUUAGGUAAUACUCACAUACCCUGUUAAAGUGAUUCAUUGGGUUUUGAUGGUGAUCAAACCCAACACUUGGUCACAAUGUGUAGUUUAACACCACUAUCUGCUGCUGACGGUAAUGUCGACGCUCCGAAUACGGGUUGUUUUUUUCACGACUAGACUAGAUUACAGUGUCAAGAAGUCAGACUGCAGAUAACGAUGAGAUUAAGGACAGUCUAAUGGGGACUUUGGAUCAGGGAGGGUUGAACUACUGUGGCUACAAAGCCUCUCAACUCUUUCGCUGUUACCUGUUCAACCUACCGCACGUCCUGAUUCCUCUCAGACAAUUCAUCGUAAAAUUCAUUAUUCAUUUAGCAAUAUUUCAUAACGGGAGAGUGCUGUGCUCAGCUGGAAAUCUGAAUAAUUCGGAUACAUUCUCAGUACCCCCCCCCCAAAAAAAGUAGGCUCCAUUGCUACAUGCAUAGUUAAACACUGCAUCCGUGAAGUAUAACAACUCAAUACUGGGAAAUGAAUCCCACAGUACUCAUUACCAGUAUCUGUAGUGCAGUGGUGGUGUAGAGGGGAAGCUGUUUAUACUGCCAGGGUACGACUUCACUCUGUCUGUUGUUCAAUGGUAAAUGUAAUGUCUUCUUACCCGAUUUGUAGACUGUGCGGACUGUCAGGGCCUGCAAGCCCUAAGCAUCAUCUGAAAUGUAUUUUUAUAUAUAUUAUUUGCACAAAUGUGUAUUAAAUUAUUCCCCAUAGUCUAUUCUCUUAAUUUCAUUCCCUUUCCUCUUUGUUGCGUUGGUCCUAGCUUACGGUUGCGUAUUUGGACUGCUGGCCUUCAUGUUGG